UUGAGAAUAUGUAAAUUGGACUCCUCAUCAGGCACCACAGUCAACACUGCAGAGACACUCACCAUGCUCUGAACAUAUCAAACAGAUGAAAUGCAGAAGUUGUUCCAAAUCCUUUUCCAAAAUAGGAGGCCAGAUCAUCAUCUUAUACAGAAGGGUUUUUCUUCUGGCUUCUGAAUGCAUGUGAUUGCCAUGACUAUCGGGGGUUUGCAUUUCAUUCUGCUUCAACAAAAGCCCUGCUUCAGCCUCCUCUCCUCUGGCCUGUGUUAUAGAAAGAGAACUGCAACAUUUUACUGUCUGGAAAUGACAAUUGCAAAGUCAAAGGAUCUGGGAAUAUUAGCAAUGCCAUUGUUUGAAGAAGAAGCAGCCUUGAAACAUCAUUUGCAAAUCUAUUCAUUAUUCUGAAAUGCUAAACGCAGUAAGAGCAGGUUUAGCAUCUGUCUGCUAACUAGCUGCCUGAUUAUUACCCAGCGGAAGAAGAGCACAGGCAGGGCUUUACUCCAGGAAGCCCCAACACUGUAGGUGUGAAGUGUUCCCAAAACGUGCAGACCCCUUCAGCCCCCACCCCAGGCACGGCUCUUCACAUCUUCGCUUUGUGCUGCGCUUGACAAAUGAGGGUAGCGUGGCUCUUUAUUUUCCUGGGUAAAAUGACUCCCCGCUGCUGGCUCCGGGAGCUCAGCGAUGUCACGCCGGGGAUGAAUUCGCCCACGUCCGCCUCAAACUAAUGCAUUUCUCCCCAUAACCAAAAUCAUUAUCCGCCUGAUUUCCCCUCCACCUUUCCCAUCUCCCACCCCGAGCACACACACAGACACACACAAACACACACACAGA